rnacentral:rRNA from 1 species
CCUACGGGAGGCAGCAGUGGGGAAUAUUGGACAAUGGGGGGAACCCUGAUCCAGCCAUGCCGCGUGUGUGAAGAAGGCCCUCGGGGUGGAAAGCACUUUCAGUGAGGAAGAACGCCUGGUGGUUAAUACCCAUCAGGAAAGACAUCACUCACAGAAGAAGCACCGGCUAAAUCCGUGCCAGCAGCCGCGGUAAUACGGAGGGUGCGAGCGUUAAUCGGAAUUACUGGGCGUAAAGCGCGCGUAGGUGGCUUGAUAAGCCGGUUGUGAAAGCCCCGGGCUCAACCUGGGAACGGCAUCCGGAACUGUCAAGCUAGGGUGCAGGAGAGGAAGGUAGAAUUCCCGGUGUAGCGGUGAAAUGCGUAGAGAUCGGGAGGAAUACCAGUGGCGAAGGCGGCCUUCUGGACUGACACUGACACUGAGGUGCGAAAGCGUGGGUAGCAAACAGGAUUAGAUACCCCUGUAGUC